ensembl:snRNA U2 U2 spliceosomal RNA
AUCGCUUCUCGGCCUUUUGGCUGAGAUCAAGUGUAGUAUCUGUUCUUAUCAGUUUAAUAUCUGAUACGUCCCCCAGUUUCUUUGGGGGAGUGGCGGCCUAGUGGUUAAGGAAUAGCCCCA